GAUGAACGCUGGCGGCGUGCUUAACACAUGCAAGUCGAACGGAAAGGCCCAAGCUUGCUUGGGUACUCGAGUGGCGAACGGGUGAGUAACACGUGGGUGAUCUGCCCUGCACUUCGGGAUAAGCCUGGGAAACUGGGUCUAAUACCGGAUAGGACCACUUCUUGGAUGUUGUGGUGGAAAGUUUUUUCGGUGUGGGAUGAGCUCGCGGCCUAUCAGCUUGUUGGUGGGGUAAUGGCCUACCAAGGCGUCGACGGGUAGCCGGCCUGAGAGGGUGUACGGCCACAUUGGGACUGAGAUACGGCCCAGACUCCUACGGGAGGCAGCAGUGGGGAAUAUUGCACAAUGGGCGCAAGCCUGAUGCAGCGACGCCGCGUGGGGGAUGACGGCCUUCGGGUUGUAAACUCCUUUCGCUAGGGACGAAGCGUUUUGUGACGGUACCUGGAGGAGAAGCACCGGCUAACUACGUG
rnacentral:rRNA from 1 species